CGACAUUAUUCUGGAGAUUUUGACGUUUUUACUCUUAAAUCUUUUAACUUUAAUCUCCUCCCUGUAAUUAUUAUUCUCUCUAAUCCUCCUUCAUAUCGUUAGUUACAGCAUAGACGUAUAACUGAAGACAUAGAUGUCCUUUGGGUUUCAAAGGGAAGAGAACCACCAUGUUCCUCUACGGUAUCAGACUCAAACGUUAAAACCAUGGACCUUCUGCCAUGGUGGUCUCAGGUGGACUCAGGUGGACCUUCUGCCAUGGUGGUCUCAGGUGGACUCAGGUGGAUCUUCUGCCAUGGUGGUCUCAGGUGGACUCAGGUGGACCUUCUGCCAUGGUGGUCUCAGGUGGACUCAGACAGACAGACUCUAAAUGUGACCGUUCUCCUGGUGGUCUACAGAAGUCUACAUUUGUGGACCUUAAGUCCCACAAAGAGGCUCUGUGAACCCCAGGGUGGAUCUGAUGGUACCUGAGC